UAUCUCUUGGAGUCUUUGCUCCCCAGUAACCCUUUGCUUGUACCCCAGCUCUUCCUGUAACAGUAAUGGCUACACCUCACAAAAUAUUAUGUUUGCCUUGCUAUCCCUGAGCUGAAACAUUGUCUAAACUCUGAACUAACCUUAGGAGAGUCCAACAAGUCCCUUUGUAAUGGAUUGAGCUUCCUUUGACAGCAGUGGAAAAAGAGCUCUCUGCAAAAAGAGCUGCUACAAGGAGAAAUCAGGAGCAGCUGACUGGCCUAUGGAACCACAUCGGGGAUGUCAUGAGCAACGUCCUCCCUGGAAUGAGAAGUGAACUGGCCCCAUGCUCCUCCUGCUUCAAAGCCCUGUGGAUUUUGGGCUCUUUGAUCCAUUCAUGGAGUGAGAAAAUGGAAGCAUCAAAGAUCUUUGCU